rnacentral:piRNA from 1 species
UGCUCGGACCCUUUCUGUACCCUUGGCGC